rnacentral:rRNA from 1 species
CGGAGGACAUUACAGAGUUGCAAAACUCCAACAAACCAUCGCGAAUCUUACCCGUACGGUUGCCUCGGCGCUGGCGGUCCGGAAGGCUCUCGGGCCCCCCGGAUCCUCGGGUCUCCCGCUCGCGGGAGGCUGCCCGCCGGAGUGCCGAAACCAAACUCUUGAUAUUUUAUGUCUCUCUGAGUAAACUUUUAAAUAAGUCAAAACUUUCAACAACGGAUCUCUUGGUUCUGGCAUCGAUGAAGAACGCAGCGAAAUGCGAUAAGUAAUGUGAAUUGCAGAAUUCAGUGAAUCAUCGAAUCUUUGAACGCACAUUGCGCUCGCCAGUAUUCUGGCGAGCAUGCCUGUUCGAGCGUCAUUUCAACCAUCAAGCUCUGCUUGCGUUGGGGAUCCGCGUCUGACGCGGUCCCUCAAAAACAGUGGCGGGCUCGCUAGUCACACCGAGCGUAGUAACUCUACAUCGCUAUGGUCGUGCGGCGGGUUCUUGCCGUAAAACCCCCAAUUUCUAAGGUUGACCUCGGAUCAGGUAGGAAUACCCGCUGAACUUAAGCAU